AGCGAACGCUGGCGGCGUGCCUAACACAUGCAAGUCGAACGUGAAAGGGAGCAAUCCCAAGUAAAGUGGCGUACGGGUGAGUAACACGUAGGUAAUCUACCCCAGAAUCUGGAAUAACCGGCCGAAAGGCUGGCUAAUACUGGAUAGAGCGACGGAAUCCGUAAUUGGGUUUUUCGGGAAAGGGAGCCUGUAAAAAGGCCUUCGUUCUGGGAUGAGCCUGCGUCCCAUCAGCUAGUUGGUGAGGUAAAAGCUUACCAAGGCAAUGACGGGUAGCUGGUCUGAGAGGACGAUCAGCCACACUGGAACUGAAACACGGUCUAGACUCCUACGGGGGGCAGCAGUGGGGAAUCUUGCGCAAUGGACGAAAGUCUGACGCAGCAACGCCGCGUGAGUGAAGAAGGCCUUCGGGUUGUAAAGCUCUGUCGAGUGGGACGAAAAUGCUUGGAGUUCACAGCUCCAGGAACUGACGGUACCACUAAAGGAAGCACCGGCUAACUCCGUG
rnacentral:rRNA from 1 species